CACAUGCGUCUGCACAGGACACGCAGCCACCCAUGUGCAGCAGACAGCCAUGCCGCAGGCCUAUCACCUGUACUGCCCCCCGCCCCUGUUGGGAUGGGCCUUGCCUUCACCCGCAUCCCCACCCGCGGUGUGACGGGAGCGGCUCACCUGCAGCCGGCGUGCGGACUGGCCCAGCGAUCUCUCCACGGCCCUGCAGCUGCUCUCCAGCCUGGACGCCUGCUGCGUCUGUGCCUCCACUUCAGCCUUCAGCUUGAGUACCCUGACCCGCACCUCCUCCUCGUUCAACUUCUGCAUCUCCUGCGUCUCCUGCUGCAGCCGCUCCACCUGCACGCCGGCUUCCAUGUCCUGGAUGCGGCCCAGUGAGGAGCCCAGCUGCACCUCGCAGUCCUGCGUGCGGUGCAGCAGCUCCUGCAGCCGCUCCCGCAGUUGCCGCUCGUUCUCCUGCUCGAUCUGCAGCUCGUUCUCCCAGAACUCGCCCUCGCUGAUCUCCACCUCAUUCCUCUGCACCUUGCGCUGCAUGGCCAGCACCUCCUCCUGCAGCCUGAUGAAGGUGCCCACCCCAGCGGCGCCACCGCCGCGCUCCGCCCAGGCACGCAACUCCGACUCACAGCCCCCGAUCCUCUGCUCCAGCAUCCGCAGCUUCUCCUUCUGCAGCUGCACCAGGUGGGCCAGCUCCCGGGUCGGGCUGAUCCGCAGCCCUGACGCCGUGGCGAUGCUGUUACUAUGGUUCAUGAGGUGCUGCUUGGCCUCCGAAUCCCUGGACCUCCCAAACAUGUCCAAGAAGCCCCGGGCGCCGCUCAUGAUGGUCACGGAUUUGCGCUUGGGCUCCCUGCGUCUGAAGGAGCGCUCAGUGGGCGGGCGGAGCCUGGCCAAUGGAGGGAGGCUCUGGCGGUACAGGACGCGCUCCGGGAUGUGGGCGGGACCAUCGGAGGCAGGCCGCUCGGUCGCCGUGGACCCCGUCCGCCGCAGCACCAGCUGCACGUCGCCGGCAUGCGGGCCCCACUGGUUUAGUGAGGCGAUGGGGCACUCGAAGGGCGCUAGGGGGCGCUCUAUCCCCCGCCAUCGCUCCGUCAGUGUGUAACGCCCUGUGCGGCCUGCAGAGGCAGACAGAACAAAGUGACAAGGCCAUGAUGUUUACCUGUGAAUACAGCCAUGGCCUGAUGGAGGAUCACACCAGGCAGGUUUCCCAUCAUGCAACUGGGCAGGCUGCAUGGGUGUCUGAGUGCUACCUACGCUCGUGUGCAUAUGUCAGGUUUGAAGUACAUAAGACCCCCACUCCCUUCAGCUCCCACCCAGCAUCUUACCGAUGGCCUGUGCCAAAGCAACGACCACCUCCUGGCAAGUGGUGACCUCAGAGACCCCGCAGACGACUCGCUGGACGCCAUCCACCCACACCUUUAGCUCCAUGCCGUCGAACCUCAUUCCUUCAUGUCACGUACCGGGAAACCGGGGGAGUCUGGGCUCAGUGCUGUGGGGAGAGGGGAAGAUGGGGUCAGAGGUGCCCACCCCCAUGACAGAUGUGUGGCCUUAACACUGCUUUGCUGUCUGCCUGUGAGGUUUAUCUGUGAUCACCCUCUUCCUGUCUCGCUGGGCCAUCUGGUCCACUAGAAAUGCACAGAGAGAGUGAUGGAGUCAUCCGAGAGGACAAAUGGGACACUGGGGGGGGUACGAUGUCUGACGCCAGAUGGACGGGCACUGGGGACUCUGGAAGACUGGGGGAGACCAGCCUGUACAAGCCCACAGCUUUCAUUCCAGAAGAGGAAAAGGAAAGAGAAAAUCUUCAUAACUGCUAAAUACACGCUCACCGAGUAUUAAAGACGCUCCCCGGGUUACAAAAGUCCACAUUACGAUAUUUCGACUUUACGAUGGGUACUCCAGUUCCAUUCUGUUUUUCACUUUCAGCAUAUUAUUCAAUAAAUUACAUAAGAUAUUCAACACUUUAUUGUUAAAUAGGCUUUGCGUUUAUGAUUACGCCCCACUGUAGCCUAAUGUAAGCGUUUUACGCAUGUGUAAGGCUAGGCUAUGACAUUUAUUAGGUUAGGUGUACUGUAUUAUAAUGCGUUUUCGCUUUACGAUAUUUUCGCCGUAUGAGAGGUUUAGCGGGACGUAAGCCCAUCGUAGCUCGGGGAGUGUCGGUAUGUGUGUUCUGGAGCGGAUUCGCUUAUUUGGGGACCCUGGGCUGCAGCCUAGUUUGCCCUAUGCAUUCCUCCGCUGCCGGGUGUAUUUUAUAGCAGAGUCAUCGCUGCUGAUGCUGUUUACAGACACUGUUGAGCUUCAUCGCGUCACCUUAAAGCCGGGGAGACGUCCCCUGAUUUACACCCGCGGUCGAGCUGGAAGCGGCCCAGAUCCACGUGAUAUACCCACCCGAAAUCCAAUCAGAGUCCCAGUGAUCCAGAGCCUCUCCGUCAGCAUGGGGUGUGAAAAAGGCCAGGCGGCCAAUCACGCACGCCCCCGGGCCGCCGCGUGUCCCAGGGCUGGGGGAGGGACCCCAGCUGAGCUCACAGAGACACGCAGGCUGGACUCACAGCCUCUUCCCGCGGCUGAGCUGCCAUGUUCUUAGCAGCGACGACAUGGAGGCCAUUGCAGUGGCGGGACUCUCCCGGGACCGCCUGCGUUUAGGCCCAGAAGACCUGUUCUAAAAUUCCGAUUUGGCAGCACCUGGUGCCUGAGCUCACGGCCACGAUCCCAGGAGAUCCCCCCCCCCCCCCACCACCACCUAUCGUCCUGUUGAGGAGAGCGAUCUGAAAUGUGUAAAUGAACGAAAAAUAUAAAACGCCAACAAAACCGGAACGACUCCUACCGGGACGCCGCCGCAUGUUUUGAAGACUGGAGACCAGUACGUAACCCGGAAGACGCUGACUCACCCAUUCGCGUUUCCAAACCGACUGGGGGAUGCUGGGUAGCUGCGAGGAACGCCGUCUUGUUAGCGGGGAUUCAGGCUGCUCCUUACGCCCGUCUGGCUCUCCAGAAAUGCUGGACGUCCCAAGUUUCACGCCGCCACUGAAAGGGGAGAAUCGGCGGAUCGAUUCAGCGUCUGCAGCUGUCACCUCCGCUGACAUGCGUCCGGUUUGACCCGAGAAACACAAUCCCCCCCAAAAGAACCCGCCUAGAUUUAUGGCCCUGCCAGAGAGACCCCGAGGGCCCACUGCUGCCCCCCCCCCCCGGCCGUGCUGUCGGCUCCGUGACUAGGCACACGCUGACAUCCGAGCCCCUAUUUUUGGGCUUUUUAAAUAAGCCCACGCGAGGUGUGAGCAGUUGGCCGGUUUAGAGGAAUCGAGCCAGGAAGCGGGGGACCAGGUGGCAUUCAGGCCCCUCCCUCGUCUCCAUGCCACACCCGGGGGGGGGGGGGGGGAUUUAAUGCCAAGAUCCAACCCUGGGCCUCUGACUCAUAGACUGUUGCAAUUCUGCUGCUGGUAUCUCACAGCUAAGUCAUAUCUGACUGCUCGGGUGGUGGGAGGAGUGUCUCACAGUCCAAAAAAUGCUCGUUCUCCUCCACAAUCUGCACAUUGUAUAACAGAGUAUCGUGCCGCCACUGGCAGAUACACUGGCAGUUACACUGGUGGUUCUAACUAGUUUAGAAUUCUUACUAGAGAACCACCUGAGCAGCUUAGCAGUUUAGCGGAGAAAUAUGUUUGCGUGUUUGCCCAAGUCGUCCCGAGAACAGGACAAGCAAAAAAGCAGAGCUGGAAAAUCACAGCCCCCCCAGGACGGCGACCCUCCCUAAUGAGUAGAUGUGCCGUUCUUGUAAGCGAGCCGUUCCACUGCGCCCGGCUAUCCGUCUUCGGUUCUGGGUCCUCGGCGCUCAGACGGUGCUGCCAGCUCAUUAGUCAAACCCAGGCGUCUUCAUUAACGCCUGUCACCGGUGGCCCGUCGCUCCGGUGCGCCGAUUCCUGGGUGUCGCCGUCACCCCCCCCCGAUGGGUUUGGCCCGGUCUCCCUCCCGACAGAGUCUUACCCAAAGCUACCCAAACCUGGCACUCACCUGGGGCAAGAUGCCCGUUCUCCUCGAUAGUCUUGGCAGGAGCCUGGCCGACUCUGGGAGGCACAGUGCAGACACACGCGCAGAGUGACGCACACACGCACAUGCACACACAGACCUGUACUCAUAUCUCCGUAGGGACUUGCCAUUCAUUUCUGUAGCUAUACCUCUAAUCCCAGUAAUGACAACCUGAACCCCCCCCCCAGCCCUGACCUUAAUCAUAAGUAACAAAACAAAAUACAAGACUUCUGACAUUUUUAGUUUUUUGAUUGCAGUCACAGGUGGUUAUUAAAUUGAAUUUCCUCUUGUGGGGACCGAAGAAAUGGUCUUCACAAAAUCAACAUGACAAAACAGGUUUUUCCUCACAUCGUGGGGACACUUGGUCCCCACAAUGUAAUAUAUACCUGGACCACACACAUACACACACACACACACCGAGUCACACACGCCAUAACCCCAGGGACCUCCCCCAAAGUAUAGGCUGCUCUCGGCUUACGGAAAAUGUGACUUAUCUAAGGUUUUGUGGAAAAGAUAACUUCUGUGAGUCUAGAACUUCCUGUAAUUACUGUCCCUGCGUAGACACUACAACUCCAAAUAGACAGGAAGACAAACAGACACACUAACACACAGAGCCAGUGUGUCGCAGAAAAACGCACACAGUCCAACGCCGAGGCACAGAGACACACACUAUGCACCAAUGCGUAGGCCAAGCUUCUACUUUUCAUAUAGGUGACUGAUUCUCUCCUACAUCCAGAAGCUGUGUGUUCCCUACACCAGAACAGACGGCAAAACUUCCAUUCAGACAGUAAGAUUUGAGGACGAGAGACCUUCCAGACGCAAGCAGCUCCAGGGGAACAAACCUUCACCUCUACUUUAAACUUAGACCCUGCAGCUUAUAGUCAGAGCUUGGUCAGACGAUUCUUUUCAUUUUUAAGAAUGUGAAGGUGUGCUGAAGAAUUCCUUGUACUGCGCAUUUCAAAAUUAACUCCAUAACAACAGACGCUUUCUAUCCAAGUAUCAAUGUUCUUAAGUCAUGAAAUGAUUUGCCAAAAAAACUGAAUCAUCCUUGAGUUAAGUUUUAUGAAAUAGACACAAUAUUGGAUUCUUUUUUCUUUUUUUUUUUGCAUUUGAUUUAAAAAUAGCUGACGGUUCACAUUUGCUGGAUUCCUCAGAUCACUGAUGCAUCUGGAAAAAGAUAAUGCAACCUUUACUCGUGGUGCUAUCUGAAGAUCUGCUGUCUCCUUGUGGCCCUUCUCUUCCCGAGACAGGAACACUCCCUUUCAACCUGUCCUGCCUCAGCAAUGCACACCGAGUGUUACGGCCCAGCAUGCAUUGCUCUCCUGACAGCAGGAAUACCCAGCUUCGCACUCCACAGACAUCCAUACCUGACAGUCAGCCUCAUAAUCAGCCUGAUUAUCAACAUAUCAACAUACUUUAACUGGUAGAGCGUCUUUGACUGGAAUGAGCACAAACGUGGUGCUUUGUGAUCCAUGAAUGAUAGUAAGCAUCACACCUGACUGGCUGUAGCUGUGUUUUACUACAUCACCAGCACUUCACAUGACCCGCGAAGAUGUUUUAAAGAGGCACUUCAGCCCAGUUUCGAAACUGACUAUAAGAAUUCUGAAAACGAGAUCAGAACUCCCGCAGUUUCGCUAAAUUAACGCUUCCUUGCGGAUCUCUGGCAGCCCUUUCUAAAACUCAGCCUAAUGCAAACAUGCCACUGCCUGGCCACAUCCUCGGAGUCCUGCCCCUAUUCAGUCACGGUAGCAUCUGCGCUCCUAAAAGUCAGAGUACGAGAAAAUGUGAAGUGACUAGAAAUGUGCGAGUGCUCUCUCAGGUUUGCUGCGCUUCCCACUUUCCGACGGCAAACAUCCAGUCUGUUUCUGUCUCUCUGAUGAUCAGAGUGAGUAAGAUCCAAAAGAGAGUGAUACAGGGCUUUCUUACGGCAGAGACCCUGCCGCAGGGCAGCUGUCACUCUAGCAGUACGACUGUCCACUUUCGUCCUUCUUGAUUUAGCUCCUUGGUUAAAUCUCCAACGAGAUUUACCGGUCUGCUGGUAACUUUCGAUAUUUACAAGAACAUCAAACAACACGGAAGCUUCACAAUAGUAGAAUUAUUCCCCCCCCUCCCACUCUAGUACUGCAGGUGGAGGCAAGGUGAGCCCCUCCCUGGGUUAGGGGGGUAUAUUCAGCAACAAAGUAGGAUUAGCAACAAAAUAAAAUGCUCACCCGUAGAAGGCUGCUGGUUCACCCAAGUUCAGUAUUCCGUUUCCAAGAGACUCGGUAGUAGUGAUGCUUCUGUUGUUUCUGCACACAAACUGCCUCCCUGCUCCCUUUUCCUUCCUCCGACACACCCCCUCCCCCCCAGCAGAUCGCCCUGCCCUCUCCACACACAGACACGCACCGCACACAGAAACGCACACGCACACACAGCUGCCCGAUGAUGCAAGAGCCUCCCUAAUUACUCCCUGUUAGUAGGGUAUCAGCCCAGCUCCCUGAUGUCCUUCACACAGCUAACCGCCCCCCCCCAUGCCCCUCCCCAAGCUGUGCGUGACACAUGUACCCGAGGUUCUGUUGAUUUCUGAAGCCAGGACAUGCCUUCAGCCAGGUUGACUUAAGCGCCCUACAAGCACUUGUAUUGAUUCAUGAUGCUGGACGGUUCACUGAUGCAACCCAGGGUAAGUACCUGUUGGCCCGUCUCACGGACUAGCGAGGUCUUGCUUGCCCAUGAGGGACCGAAUGCAGAAUGUCGGCUACACUUCGGUUUACCAAUACAGUUUUUAGCUUUGGUUUUGCUCACGGGAAGGUUUCGCGAAAGCCGGCCUAAUGCAUUCUCAUUAACCUUGGGCCACAAUACUGACGACUCGCUCAAUUUUUUUUUCAAGCCAGUUAAGUAUGUCAGUCCGCUCACAGACAGUCAUAAAUGACCGCUUCUAGUAAUAAAUUAUUGUUUCAAGCCAGAUAAUUAUGAGCCUAGUAGGACCAAUAAAAAAAUCAGCAGAAGCGUGCAGUUCUCUGGACUUUGAUUGAUCGCCGGUCCUCUAGCGGUGGGGUGGGUUGGCUAGCGGAUGAGAAGCGUCCAGCUAAGAGCGAGUGCACAAGUUCCGCGGGCACAGUGGCAUUUUGCUGCUAGUCAGUGUUAGCAUUUGGGCCUCCUUGGGCUGGGAGUCAAAGAAAGCAAGCCAAUCAGCACUAGCUGGGAGUCACUCCCCAAGAGGAUUCUGGGAAAUCUGUAAGGAGCUCAUAUCUAGAAAUCUCUGUAGUGUUUAUGGGUCUAAAAUAGUAUAAGACUAGUAUAGAUGUUAGCAGAAUAAAUAUGUUAAACAUGAGUUUUAUUGUUUGGUGAAGGAGAUGUGUGACUCUACAUACCGAACUGUAAGUGUGUAUAGGGUUAGUGUCCCUCGUUGUUUAUCAUCACAUGCUGACUCUGAGAGUGUACCGACUCUGAAUCUUUGUCAUUUGGAAUAUGGAAGUGCUAUAAUAUCUGUUUCAAACCGCGGCCUUGUUAGCAAGGUUUAAAAAAAUCUCGACUUUCAAGGGGACGUUUCUCAGUCAGCAUCAGAUGUGCCAAGUUAAAGUAAGACAGCAAAAGCAGACAUCUGUGGAGCUGUGAUGUUCUUCAGCAUAUCAUCCAAACCAGGUAGUGUUUAUUGCAGUUGUUUGGUUUAUGUUUGUCAUUGCAGCUCCUAAGUGUAAUUACCUCUAUACUCAGCCUCAGUCAUUACAGAGAUACUGGCUGCACUGGAUUAUAGGAACUGGUAAUGAAACCCCACAAGGUCUGCAUCUCUCUGCCAUGCAGUGGGGGUAAAACCACAGGGACCGGGGUCCCUCUCAGCUUCCGGUUCCUUUGCUAGCCGCUGAUGAAAGACCGGACAAUAGCUUGGCAUCAAACGUUUGCUUGCCAUCGACCUCAAGGUCACUUCAGGAAAGCAUUUUCAUUUCAAGUAUAAAACUUAAUCACCAAAGCCAGUCUCAAAGAGCCCCUGUGCAGUGAAAGAAAAUGAGGGAAAAGUGUUUUUUUUUCCAAAGCUAAAUAACGAGACCUGCAACAAUUACCACAAAGUAAGUGUCUACUUCAGUUUAGGGAUAAGGAGAAUUUUUUUUGUAUCACAUGCUUAGUUGUUUCAUUUUUGGCAAAUUGAAAAAAAAACAAACGGUGGUAUCGCUAGCCAGCAACACGGAUAACAGAUUUUCCUCAAAAGAAACUUCUCGUCAUACAUUUAAUCCACAACCAUUGUUUCUGCCACCCUUAUCUCCACCCCCCAGCAAACCGGCGAGGUGACCAGACUCAGUUUGGACACAAACAGGAAACAGAUGCAGCGUGAGACAGGAAGGCCAGCGACAGGAAGUAAUUCCCCCACCGGCAAACGGACAUAAGCACGGGCUGAACAAAGACUCUGUUACCGGGGAACAGAAACAGCUUCACAUCUGUGACAGUGAUAUGGAUUGGAGAAGGGGGGUCAUUAGUGCCCCCUAUCAGCUGUGGUCUAUUCUCCCGCUCCGCCGUGACCAGGAAAAACCGUGGGAGUGAGGCUGAGAGGGUCUGCCUGGGAGGUGACACACGCAUCACACCCCCACAUGGGGACAUCGAUUAAAUCGCUGCAGUGAAAAGUCACAUUUUAACGACGGGCGAUAAUUACUGACCCGUGGCCGCCGGUCAUUCAGCAGGUGGGCGGCUCUCUAAUGGAUGAUCAGAUAAGAUUUCAAGGUCUUGUAUCGUGGCCAUAAAAAAGCAGAUGAUUCGUUCAGUUCAUUUACUACGGAGACGUUACACAUUUGAGGAAUCGGGAAGGAGUGGCCUCUUCUGCGUCAGUCAGAAUCAAAGCAGGAGGUUUUCUUGGGCGAAAUCGCUGAGGCUUUUUUCAGUGAGGGCACAGUGUUUGUCAGAUAUCCAAAGGUAUGAAUCAGACUGACUCCCCCCACCCACCCUCCAACUGCCACGGGCAGGCACACGCAGCCUGAGGGGGCGGUCACCCCACGCAUGCCUCUGCUGUGCCAGCCCCCCCCCCCCCCCUUCCCCCACGUCGCUAACGCUGUAUGCUGGAAUGCUAUUGGGCGCCUUCCAAGAUGGCAGCCGUCGAGUGCGCCGGUGGGAGAGCCUAGGAUCAUAGCCGUGAAAUGUCAGGCUUCUAUUCCCAAAUACCACUUUGGUAGACUAACGAUUCGGCCGUGUCUCCUCAGACGGAAGCGGGUAUGGAGCGAGUCCCCUCCUCCUGGCCGGCCGAUCGACGCCGCAGAGAUUCGGGCAGCUGGUGUCACGUGGCAGCGCCUGGAAUCGGAACAGAUUUCCUCGUGGAAGCAUGAGCCGCGAGAGCAUCUGAGAGAUGAAGGACCCAUCUGCUUCGCUCAUGGUGCUUUUUCUCUUUCAGAUCCUUUUUGAAUGAAAUCUCGCUUCUGCCGCACCUGAAGGGAACCCUUCCCUGACAGAGCACCCAACCACAGCCCAACGUUCUCACUCUACAUCAUAGGUCUUCCCCCACCAUCCUUCAGGGCAUCCCCAACACGGCCUGGAUCUCUCCGCCCUUCAGUGGAUCCAUCCGUAACUGGCCUGGGAUUCUCUCUGCCAUCCAGUCGCGCAAACACCGUGGGACCUGCUCCUCUCUCCGUCAGGCGGUGACCUCCGUGAGCUCACGGCUGCAUGGAAAUCGCAUUAUCCAAUCAGCUCUGGAAUAGGAUUAAAGAGACGAUAUUUCCUGGGUACAGGUGAGAGCAGAAAACCAUCUGUUAGUUCUGGAGCGAGUUGCAUCCCACGCAGGGAGCAGCUUGAGGAGGCCGCCUCCUGCUUGGGGCCUGUGGGCAUCAGAACUCCUGCCCCUCAACCGCCAGCAAACAUCUGCACCUCUGCUGGUCUCCUACAUCCUACAGCAAGGAGAGUACAGCUGCCCCGUCUGGAUCUCAGCUAAAUUCGGGAACAGAGUGAUCCCACUGAGGAGGAUCCACUGCGAUGGGAGACCAAGGGAGACAUAGCUUCAGCAUAAGUGAUGGAAUGAAAGGUCGGUGCUUCUUGUUUCUGUGAACGCAGUGGUGUUUGAGGGCUGCAGGGGCUGUCAGACACAGAGAAAGACAGCAUCCUUAGUCCAGAGAGUGCGCCCCACGCUGGUGACCUGGACUCAUUAUUUCCACCCGCGUUCUUCAGUACCACCUAUUUGUGGUGCCCCCCGAUGCCCCCACUGAUAAGGGGACAGGGUGAAUCUGUCCUUUUCUUGAACUGGGUGCAUCUGGGUUGUCACAGCGUGCAGUAAUUGUACGACGGGGUCAGGUUCCAUUACGCCCUUUUAAACCGAUCAGCAGAAAGUCCAUCGUCACGCAUUUGAACUGCUUAGCUGUUGCCGGUGGCUUCAGGGGAAAAAGCACAAGGCCAGCAGAUAGUGUAAAUGCACUGUGUGCGGCGUAAAAAGUGGAAUUCCAGGCUCCUACGUGGUAAUGCAACACUAUAUCGCCGGCGCGGGGGAACUGACAGCGCCAUUAAUGCAUAGCGAGGAAAAGUGCAUUACUGCAGGCUGGCGAAUGUAGCGGAUCCUGAUUAUUUUGCCGUACAAUCCAAUAAUACAGCUUGCCCAUCCCUGAAGGGGGGGGGGGACACUAAGGUGACAUUGCAGAGUCUCUAGCUACUUCCCAGAGCAGGAAAUACCCCCCAGAAACAUCACAACAUUAAGCAAAACUCAUUUAGCUUCAACCAAGUAAGGGCUCCACUACUGCCUCUAGGGUUAGGGUUGUGUCAACAUCUGAUUCUCGCACACUGUGACUCUUGAAAAACAAAGUCGACAUUAUUCCCAACAUCCAGGUCUAAAAAUAUGUGUAUUCAGCAGAGCAAAACAAUGACAAACAGCAAAGUUGAAGGGAAUGGGAGAGAUAUCGGGAUCUAGGUGGGAUUAUGGGGUCAGGGAAACGGAAAGCAGUAAAACAAGGGCGAGGGGGAGUCAGUGAACAGAAAACCAGAGGAGGGGGUCCCACUCACAAGACAAUAAAACCUAACAGCCUGCAUCCAAGCACCCAGGGAAUGUUUUUCCAUUUUAAAAUUUAAUUAACCUACAUUUACUUAAUGAAAAAUGACAUUUGUAUUCAUUGUUCUUUGUAUUGUUUGUGAAUCCCAUAACAGGACAAAAUUAAUAAUGAACAUUUCUAUUAAUCCGUCCAUUAGUUAAUUGAUCAUUUCAAGGUGGAGAAUGAUGAAUCAGCCAUUCAUGCGCUAUAAUAAGAAAGACUGUGUUAUUCUGUUAAAACACUUACGCAUCUGCUUACUUGUGCCAUCUGCCAUCCUUGCAUGCAAAUGGUUGGAGAAUCAAGAGGCGUCAACCAGAGUAAAUUGUUAAACGUGGAUGGCGGAGGACUCAAUCGGCCGCAUCAUGGCUGAUUUGCCUUGGAACUCGGAUGGAAUGACGAGAAGCCUGUUCGGAGUUACUCCAGAUACCGUGUCAAAUAGUGAUGUUUCUGUUGACCUACAUUUUCGCGCAUUCUGAUAACGUGCAUCGAAAACCUGUUAAUGGAAACAGUUAGCUGUCGCGACAAAGUUUUUACAUUCACUCGAGUUGGCGUCCGUGGCAAAAAAAGACUUAAUGAGCAAAACUGCGACAGAAAGCGAAUUUGCUAAUUGGUGGAUACGCAGAACAUUCUUCUGGAGCUGCUAACUCGUGGAAAGCCAGCUCUGUAUUACAGCAGGCGACGUGGAUCUUAACCUCGGAGGAUGAUAAAUGGCAAAAAAAUUUCCCAUGUCACCCAUUAAUGGAAACACACCCUAUUUGCAAAUUCACUUUAUCAGCUUAUAGGAUAUUUGCUUAUAAUUUGCACAAAAAUUGGAAUGAAACACAGCUAGUGGCCGCUGCGGCCGCAUGUCAGCUGCAUGCGAUUCCGGCAGAGGAGGCUUUAUUUGCAGAAAUGCAUGUUUUUCAGCAUCCUGUUCUGUUUUUAAUUUGUUUCUGCCGCAGGACCGCAGCCAGCUGAGAGGUGGCUUGUCACUGUUGCUACCAAGCCUUCCCCGGUUUUUGAUUUUAUAGGCUAAUUUAUUACUUCACAUGGAACUGUAAGUACCGUCGGUGGCCUCAUUUUUCAGGGGAAGUAGGUUUGGCACCCCCAUGCAUUACAAAGGCCACGAUUCACAAUCUUUUUAAAAAUACACCCUAAAAAAGACCACUGCUUCUAUUUUUAAGAUUUAUCACCUGGUAGCGAGCUCUCGCCUCCCAAUGCGUCCAUUCCCAUUACGAGACUAUAGUUAAUAAGUCAUAUAAAAUGUGAUGAGAACGUAAAAAGAAUGUUUCUCCAGUAUGUCACGACGGUCUGGUUUGUAAAUGGUGGCCAGCCCUAUAUUUACUGAUGUGUUGGGCUUUUCUACUAAUAAAAAAUGUCAAUUAGUCAUUGACAUACCAUCGAAAUGUAUAACGUAGAGACACUUUCUGGGGAAUAUCCGUCACGGUGAUAAGUAGGGCUGUUUAUUUACCUUCAGAUAGGACACAUUUCAAACAGAAUUUACUUCCACUCAUGUCUGGAACAGUUCAGUUUUUAACCGCAUGUCCUUUACAUCAUAAAAUCACGUUAUACCUCUGAAUGAAACAACAAGUUUAUUUUUUUCAAGUAAACAGUGUAAAUUUAGAAGGAGUGUAGGAUGAACUGGUGACUGUCUCCCCUAUAACCCUGUGUUAUGUGAGAUGUGAGUUAUUGGAAGAUGGAAGGACAAAUGAAUGGAUGAUAUCUACCACAGUCCUUGGACAAGUUGGUCCUUUUCUGUGGUUAUUCUCCAUCUAAGUACGGGAUUGGCAUGAGCCCCCCCUCCCCCCACUGUGAGCUGUUUCUCAUUACACUACGGCAUCACACAGGUGUGACUUGGCAGUAAGGAAAAGACACCAGGAAUCUGACUAACCUCUAACCUCUGAACAGCUGCAGAUCUUCCUCAUAUCGAUAGCUGCUCAUUACCAGUGAAUACUCCUUAUCACCACCCCACCCCCCCAUGUACCUCCCCUCCGGUCAGGAAGAGCCUCAGUUUCUUGUGAGAUAAGAAUCCAAAGAGUAGCACUCUUACUGCUUACAUUUAUUUAGCAAAUGCUUUUGUCUGAAGCAACGUACGAGUCAGGAAAGCCUUGGGUCAGAGUGCAGGGUCAGCCAGCACCCAGCAGCAAUUUGGUUUAAGAGCCUUACCCAUGGGCCUGAUGGUGAUGUCAUUACUUCGAUGGUGAUGUCAUUACUCUAACAAUGAUGUCAUUACUCUAACGGUGAUGUCAUUACUCUAACAAUGAUGUCAUUACUCUAACAAUGAUGUCAUUACUCUGCCUGCCAUGGGAUGCGAUCCACAUAGGCACAGAUCCCUCACCUACUGGGCUUCACACUGCCCUACACUGCAGACAUGGAAAACAUCUGCAUGAUGCGCUUAGUGGCCAAAACCAGCACAACACCUGCCAGAGAGGGGCAUUCUCACACAGUAAUGAGGUUUUUAACUUCGUUUUUACUCCGGCUACAGAGCUUGGCUAUGGGUUCAUAUACUGCACCCGCCAGAUCUCAGCACAAAGCACUGGGGAAAUGGAUUUCAGAGCAGUGGCCAUUGAUAUGAUAACCUGGAAAAUGAGCAGUUUUUUUUGGACCAGAUGAAUGUGGACAACGGUGUCGUCCAAAACAAGCAUGGUUAUCUGGCAGAAGAUAUGGAGCUACUGGGCUGAUCCAGGCAGCACGGAGCUUCCGGCGGCCUGGUGCCGCGAGAUGAUGGGCAGUUCGGCAGACGUGGGAACCCCAAAAUCACCCCACCAAGCCAAACCCCAUAGGCUGCCUGCCAUGCUGGGGUCUUUUCUCUGAGAGAUGAGGCUGAGGAGCCGGGGGAACCAGAGGGCAUAUUUCUGGCAACAUCGACUCGCAUCCUGCACCACAGGCCGCCAAAAGCUUCCCCGUAAUGAAAUGCUGGUUUCCAUGGUGACCAGAAGCGUAAGGAACAUGUUUUCCUUUAUUUUGCAGCAAGGUGCGGGAGGCUACCCCAUAUACGAAGAGACACCUGACUCGCAGGCCCCUGGAGGCUUCCGUGAUAGAGUUUGACGUGGGAUGACUCAGUGAGUGUACGCGCUUCAUCCUCAGGACCACGCGGGACUCGCGGGUGAUAAAUCACCCUCACGGCACAGCUCACAAAUGCAGACGAAGGAGCCUUGAGAUCGAACAGGCCCUUCUGAACACACAUCGGGACCCGAUAACGCCCUGUACGGCACCCAGAGAUGCUUGAACGGCACCAGGAGUGAACAUGAUGCAUUCUGGGUGGAUGGCCCCGAGUAUGGGCCACAAAUCCCACUCCACUGUGCAGAAUCUGAGUAUUCUAUCCUUGUUACAUUGGAUUCCUCCCUCAGUCUAAAGCAGCGGAAUUUCGGUCCAUGCCCGGACUCCUCUAUCCAUAACAAUGGCUAUCAAACCUCGGUCCAGCGGUCCAGUGCCAAACGGUCCGGCUUUGAGACACGAUGAAUGUUUGGCAGCGUUAAGAGUGAAACACCAAGCCGUUCAUAUUGAACAAGUAUUCGCUGGAGUCAGAGAUGAGUGGGCUUUCAGGAUGCCACCCCUCCUCCCCACAUAAAGGUCCAUUGGGAUGAGAACUUCAGCCAUCUUCUGAUCCAUGCUGGAUCGGAUCCUGGCUUCUCCAUGUCGAGCGGCUCUGGCACCGCUGCAUGGGGGUCGGGUGAGUGCGUGACCGCGGCGUGGACAGAUGCCCAGGUGACAGUGAAGAGUUCGCGGAAAAGUGCCGACCCUCGCCGUCAUUAGUAUACGACCAACAGUGGGAGCAGGUGGGCUAAUAUGGCAAUGCCUGGAUUUUCUGUAGGUUUCCCUAGUAAUCUUUCUAUUUUGGAUUUGAAAAACCUUUGCAGUCUGUUCGGUCAUCACUUUUCUCAUUACAAUUAUAUAAGCCAGAGCGGCUGGGAUUCACUUGCACCAGAGUAUAGUCCUGCUUUAACGAGCACCCUCAGAACGAACCGCCAUAUGCUGAUUUCCAGUAACGAGCAAUCUGAGUACAGAGGCUCUCACAGUCCUGCUGGGACUCAUCGAUAGACCAGGCCUUCACCAAAGCCAGCUCCCCUCAUCUCGUCAGAUAAGUCAGGGGUGGACGCCUCCUUCACACUGCCGGGGAAUGAAUACUUCCCCAAACAACCAUUUCAGGUUAUUUUAAGAGCCUCUCGUGGAAACAGGGAAAACAAAGAUUAUAUCUCUUUCUUAUAGCGGCGGUUAUAAAAGGACAACAAAUAGGAUUGGAGUCCGUUGUGAGCGAAUGAGCUUUUAUCGCUUUACACCCCAUUUGUAGGGUAACAAAAGUGUGACAAACAUGCUAUUUUAAGAUCUCGACUGCCAUGCGCUCGGUCCCUAAAUCGGGAUGACACAUUGUAGCGUGUUCCUUUUGUUGGCGUGACAACAGGUUUUGUUGUGCUCCUUGGGAUCUCACCUGGCGCACUAAGCAUGUAUCAAUAUGUCACAGGAACAAAUCCCAGUUCAAAGCCCAGGGCCCAGUGGAAGCUUUUAGCCAAGGUGGGUGUGAGCAGGUUAAUCACCAUAACUAACCAGCACACAGAGCACAGGCACUGAAAUGGACAAGUUAACUGUUUAUGGAAUUUAAGAGACUGGAUUGGGGCUGAUGAUUGUUGUAUCUCUGUCAGUUAAUUUAAUGAAACAUUUCUUUUUACAGUGACUUACUUUGUUACUUAAAUUGACAAAAAAAAACACGAUUGCUGAGACAUUAAUUCCAUUUGGUUGUGACAUCAUAAAGGGACCCCCCCUCUCGUAGUGGGUUGCUCUCUUGCUUUCGGACAUGUGUUCUUCCCUAACAGCCAUGUGGUGAAUUUGAUGUUUGUCGGCAAGCGCGCCCUUACGUUCCCAGUUCUGUGAGAUGUCUGCAGCAGGUCUCCUCUGUACCAAUCCUGUCUACAGACGCUGGAACCUGUUAUGGCCAGAGUUACCCCUCGCUGUGUCGUACACGGGGGUCAUUUACAUACAGUGUAUUCUUGAUACACAUACUGUAAGAUAUCCUCAAAGUGAAAAGCCUCAUAUUGACAGAUUGUGAAUUGAAAGGUUGUGAAAACAAUUGGUUUAAGGUGUUAUGAUUUUGUUAUGGAAGUCAGGGGCCCCCUACUGGAGAAAGAUUGAGAUUACAGUAGAUCCAUUCCAGAACAAGGGGCUUCUAAAAUAAAUCAGGCUAGCUGUCUUAUAUCACUUCAUAUUUAGCUUUUAGGUUUAAGCCUAAAUCUUUAUAAAAGCUUUGAACGUCCUCAUCCAUGACGGAGGGAGCGCGGGGUGGAAAACAUGACCUUCUGUAUUCCAUCGAGCCUGUGUCUCCGGGUUUGGAAUGGCUUUCCGAUCCCAGCUUGGGUCAGCUGAAUGCCGCUGUCCGUGAAAUCGGGGCAGCUGAACCGGGCCGUGAUGCAGGCCGCGUGCCUCCAGGCUUCAUGCACUGUGCCGCACGGAUUCCACUCCAGGGGGCUGCAGAGUAACGAUCUGUGACCAGAAAAACACUCCGACACAGGAGGCUCCGUCUGGGGGUAACGACCUUACCGGAAAGCACUGAGCCCAGAGACCCUGCACACUCCCCCCCGAGCCACCUCCAAGACCCUCUGCAAGAGGAUCAUGGGAGAUUGGGAGUGUGGUGAGACCGGGCACAGAUUAAUGCAUGGGCUAUCCGAGUAUAGAGCCUAGGGCCCCGGUAAACAGCAGAGCCCCGACUCUGUGUCAGGAAAAAUGGAACAGUUAGUUUAAUCGGCAACACCUGUGUGUCCAUGCUGAUGCUAGACUUGGGCCCCCAGAUAAGUCAGCCCAGUCCUGGGGGAGAACAUGAGCGGCAGGGCAUGAGGCAGGACAGUAAGGCGGUUCUGCCAUGUCAUUAAACAUUAUAGGAUAAGGACAUUUAUACAAGGCAGUAACAGUUGGGGAGGCUGUUUAUAAAGAAUCCGCUUUACCAUUCACCACUUGUCGCUAAAAGCAUAAUGUAUCCACGUCAAGCAUGGUACUUUCUUAAACGUUCAUGACUGAUGCUGAAAAAGCUAUCGUGAGACAGCGUGGUGAGAGUCGCCAUGUCCAGAGGGUGUGGUUACAUCGGAGGGGCGGGGCCCCGAUCUUCAGGACGAAUCAGCAGCAGGCUCAGGGGGUCUCCCCAGUCAGGUGACACUCAUCAGCAUUAAUGUAACUGGGCUCAGAGUCUUUCUGGAGCCUUUUCUACUUAAUAACAUUACAGACGCAGCGACGUUCAGCCAUAUGCCAUUCAUCUCAUUACAAAUAAAUUGAAAUAUUGCCCAGCUCUGUUUCUGCAGAAUUUGCAUGUUCUCUAUAAUUUAUCACUGCACAUGACCCAGAGCCAUUAAACCAAAUCGCCCAGAGCUAUUAAACCAAAUGGAAAAUUCAUGCGUCACACAGGUCACACAUGUGAUGCUCAGUGAUGCACCAAGUAACAAGUGUUCAUUCAUUCUCAACACACACACAUGUUUGUAAUUAUAUCUUUGUGGGGACUCUCCAUUAAUUUCUAUGGGGAAAACUCUAAUCCCAACAUGACGACCUUAACCCCUACCCAGCCCUAACCUUAACCAUAAGUAACCAAACUACAUAUAAGACUUUUUUCAUUUUUAGUUUUUUGAUUGCAUUCACAGAUCUUUAUGAGGACCUAAAAUGGUCUCUACAAUGUCAAAAUAACAGGUUUUUAUCACAUUGUGGUGGAAAUUUGGUCCCCACAAUGAAACACAUACCUAAACCACACACAAGCCCAACACAAACACACACACAGCACCUAGCAAGAGGACAGAGACAGGCAGGAGAACUCAGUCCAGGUCCUGUUCUCUUCUUGUCUUCUUGGGACUGACGUUACGCCUGCCACCAAAUGCACUUCGUCACAUGAAAUAUUUGACAACAAUGGCCUUGCACGGUGGUAAGUAACCUAGGGAGCAAGUCCACACUAGAGGGCGCCAGCAGUCUUUGAAGAACUGCCCGCAAGUAGAUCAUGGAUGAUAAGUUUGGCUAGCACAAUCUUAUAGCUCAGCCUGGUCACAGAACAGGCCAUAUUAACAUUAACAUCCAGUUCUUUACAGUCCAUAACCACGAACCUCUGAAUCAAAGAACUUUACCCCUUACCCUGGACAUGCCCCCAACACUGAAGGCUUGGGACACCUGGAACCUGCUUGCCAAGCAGAGUGAAAUGCAACUACUGCCCUCUGGUGUUUAGGAGAAGACAUGCAAGCCAUCCACUGUGAUAGAGCGCAGUGAAGAUUAUGCCCGGCCGGGCUGGUUCUGCUCUGGAAUCUCUGGGAAGUUGCUCUUGUCUUUUAAGCAUUUGGUAUGGUGUGAACAGUGACUCCACGACUGCAGUAGUGACUAUGAACAUCCCCUAAAGCAGAGCUCCACAUUGUUGACUGAUAUGCCAGCAAAGCGUUUGAUUAUAAUUCUGCCACUUGACGGGAAUUUCAGGAUUGUUCCUGGUCUUAACGAGUAGUAAUACAGACACAUAAAAGCAUUACAUUUCCGUAGUUAUUAAACGACCAGAGGUAAAUGUUUCCUCGUAGUUAUUAAACGACCAGAGGUAAAUG